rnacentral:rRNA from 1 species
GAUGAACGCUGGCGGCGUGCCUAAUACAUGCAAGUCGAGCGAACAGACGAGGAGCUUGCUCCUCUGACGUUAGCGGCGGACGGGUGAGUAACACGUGGAUAACCUACCUAUAAGACUGGGAUAACUUCGGGAAACCGGAGCUAAUACCGGAUAAUAUAUUGAACCGCAUGGUUCAAUAGUGAAAGACGGUUUUGCUGUCACUUAUAGAUGGAUCCGCGCCGCAUUAGCUAGUUGGUAAGGUAACGGCUUACCAAGGCAACGAUGCGUAGCCGACCUGAGAGGGUGAUCGGCCACACUGGCACUGAGACACGGUCCAGACUCCUACGGGAGGCAGCAGUAGGGAAUCUUCCGCAAUGGGCGAAAGCCUGACGGAGCAACGCCGCGUGAGGGAUGAAGGUCUUCGGAUCGUAAAACUCUGUUAUUAGGGAAGAACAAAUGUGUAAGUAACUAUGCACGUCUUGACGGUACCUAAUCAGAAAGCCACGGCUAACUACGUG